UUAUUGACAAGAAAUGGUUGAUGCCCUUACCAUAUGCGGGGUGGGGUUCAAAGCCCCUUCUGAGUCUGAUUUGAGGGGACCCAUUUUGACUCAAUUGGUGAAUGAUGUGAAGAAGGAAUUAGGUGAACAACGCCAGAUAUGGAGCACUAAAGGUUGCACCAUCAUGACCGAUGGUUGGACGGAUAGGAGAAAUAGAACUCUCCUUAAUUUUCUUGUUUCUUCCGUAGGGGGCACCGUUUUCAUCAAGUCCAUUGAUGCCUACGCCCAUUGCAAGAAUGCCACCUACCUAUGUGAGCAGAUAGAGGAGGUGAUUGAUAAGGUAGACUAUUGAUGGAGAGGCACCCAUCUAUAGUUUGGACUCCAUGUGCUACCCAUUGCAUUGACCUCAUGUUGGAGGAUAUUGGAAAACUCCCAUGGGUCAAGAGAUGUGUAGAAAGGGCGAGAAAUGUGUGCAAAUUUGUAUAUAAUCACUCAUGGGUGUUGGCUCUUAUGAGACAAUACACAGAGCAAAAGGAUUAGCUCCUUCAGGAAUCACAAGAUUUGCCACAAACUUCAUCACAUUGCAGUCCAUGCUUUGUUGUAAGUCGGCCUUGAGACAUAUGAUUAUUGGUGAGGAGUGGUUUUCUUCAUCUUAUGUUGGUACCCCUACAGAGAAAGAUAUGGUAGAUUGCAUUUUUGAUGAGCGAUACUUUUGGGUCCCUUGUGAUGAGAUAGUGAAGUUUGUUAAGCCCUCGGUGGUUUUGUUUCGAGUUGUGGUUGGAGAAAAGCCUGCAAUGGGCUACAUAUAUGAGGGCAUGGAUAGGGCGAAGGAGGGCAUCAAAUCUGUCUAUGAAGGAGAUGAGAGCAAGUAUGGUCCCAUUUGGGAGAUCAUUGAUAGGAGAUGGCAUCAUCAGCUUUAUAGGACCAUCCAUGCAACAACCUAUUAUCUGAAUCCGACAUUCCAUUUUAUCCCUUCUUUCAAGGCUGAUGUGGAGGUCCUUAAUGGGCUAUACUCGAUCAUGGAGAAGAUAGCACCUGCUGGUACUACUCAGAUAGAGCUUAUUUGAGAGCUACAAUUGUUAUCAAAUGCACAAGGGGAGACCACUCGUCCUAUCGCCAAAGACUGUAGGACAACUAUGAUGCCAAGUAAAAAUAAAUUAUAAUUGGUGGAGCUUUUUUGGCCCAAUAACACCAAAUAUUCAGAAGUUGGCCAUUCGCAUCUUGAGCCAACCAUGCAACACAUCUGGUUGUGAGCGCAAUUGGAGUAUGUUUGAGCACAUACACUCCAAGAGGCACAAUAGAUUAUCUGUGGAGAAGAUGAAUGAUCUCGUCUUUGUUCACUACAACCUCCACCUGAGAAUGAGAAAUAAUGCAUUAGUUGACAUCUCUCGUAUCAUUCUAGAUGAGGUUGAUCUAGAUGCAGAGUGGGCUACUGAGAUAGAUCCUGUGGCUGUCUUUAGUGAUGAUGACACUGAUUGGAUCGACCAAGUAGACAUAGAGGUUGAGGUUGUAGCCAUGGUAGAGGAGGAGCAGGGAGCAUGAGUAGAGAGGAGAUUCAGAGGCAGAUAUUGAUAGUGACACAGAUGUUCCUGAUGUUGGUGAGCAUGGCAUGGUGUCACAGGGAGUGGCUAUGGCUGUCGAAUCAUGCAAGACCUACCUUAGACGCUUUCGCAGGGGGUCGAGGCCAGAGGGUGCACGCUCCUCUGAGCCAUAGGCUUGUAGUCUUGUAGUUGUAUUUACCUUUGGUAUUUGUGUGGAACAUUUGAUGAUGAUCAUAUGAUGACAUGGAUUUUUUAUUCCAUGAGUUUUGUAAUAUUGUAUACAUUUGACAAUAUUUAUAUAUCUAUGUUUGUUAUUUCCUUCAGCUACAAUUUGCGUUUAUGCUUAUGUGAUUGAUGUAUACUUGUGUAUGUAAUCAAAUGA